CUCUCUCUCUCUCUUUCCUCCACCUGCAGGAAGCAAUGGUUUACAAAAGUUCUGCAUUAAGAAACUUGGCAACCCUGAUGCAUUGCCUCGAUCGCACACCUGUUUCAACCGUAUUGAUUUGCCUCCUUAUCGAAGCUAUCACGAGCUAAAAGAGAAGCUUAAACUAGCCAUAGAGAACACCGAAGGCUUUGAAGGAGUGGAUUAGCUCAAUUGCCAUAGACACAGCACCCAGCCACACUCCAUGCCUCUAUAUACUUUUGUGUUUAUGUAUACUUAGACUAUUAUUUUUGUAUGAUGUAUGUAUUAAUACUCUUACUAUUAUCAGUGCUAUUUAUUUUUGUAUGGUACAUAUAAUGUAGGAUGCUGGAAUUAUUAUUGUUCUAAGUGCAUUAUAUAUUAUAUUAUACACACAUAUAUAUUUAUUUAAUUACUAUUUAUAUUAUUGCUUUGUGUGUGUGCUUUCUUGUAUUUAUUUUUUCAGUUCUCCUUCAUCUAUUUUUACAUACAUGUACUUAGAAAGACUACGUUAUUAUUAUUAUUAUCAUUAUUUGUUGCUGUUGUAAUGCUGGCCUGCUAUGUUCAGGCUCUCUCUCUAUUUUUUAAAUUAUUAUUAUUAUUAUUAUAUGUACAUGUGUUAUUAAAUUCUAAGUUAAAAUGCUAUGAAACCUUUUGCGUGUCCUUUUGUAAACAAA